rnacentral:sRNA from 1 species
AGGGCAAUCAAAUCGUAGGGAUGAGAACCGUCAAAAGGUUCGAGUCGAGCGAAACGAGACAACAACGCAGAGCGUUGGCCUGAAAGGUGAGUCCGCAGGACGAAUAAUCCCGCACGACCCACCA